GAUGAACGCUAGCGGCAGGCCUAACACAUGCAAGUCGAGGGGUAGAAGGAGCUUGCUCCUUUGAGACCGGCGCACGGGUGCGUAACGCGUAUGCAAUCUACCUUGUACAGGGGAAUAGCCCAGAGAAAUUUGGAUUAAUGCCCCAUAGUAUAUAACCUUCGCAUGUUGGUUAUAUUAAAGUUCCAACGGUACAAGAUGAGCAUGCGUCCCAUUAGUUAGUUGGUAAGGUAACGGCUUACCAAGACGAUGAUGGGUAGGGGUCCUGAGAGGGAGCUCCCCCACACUGGUACUAAGACACGGACCAGACGCCGACGGGAGGCAGCAGUGAGGAAUAUUAGGCAAUGGUCGCAAGACUGAACCAGCCAUGCCGCGUGCAGGAAGACGGUCCUAUGGAUUGUAAACUGCUUUUAUACAGGAAGAAACCCUCCCACGUGUGGGAGCUUGACGGUACUGUAGGAAUAAGGAUCGGCUAACUCCGUG
rnacentral:rRNA from 1 species